UUUUCUUUUUCCUCCCUGUGGUCAUCACCUACCAUUUAUCUGAUUAUGACUCAAAAGGAAACAUGUGUGUUGAUUUAGACUGCUUCAACAUUCCAGUUCCAAUCUGAAGCUAUCUAUCUUCCCAAAUGGAAUGUUAUGCAGACCUCUUGUCCUCCCUCCUGCUUGUUGUGGCAGAGAUUUAUACUUGUAAUUUCCCAGAACAUUUGAAUUAGAGAUGUGAGCCCCGAUGCCAACUGUCUACAGGUUGAAGUUAUAAAGAGGCUUAGGCACAUCAUGUUGAAGGGAGCAAUUUGGGAAGGAUAAAGCUGUUGAUGAAUGGCCAAAAAAGGACAAGUUAAGGGGAAAAAUUGGAACCAAAGAGCCCAGAUUGUGAGUUCCUUGAAAGAAGAAUCUGUGUCUUGUGCACCAUUGUUCUUCCUUACCUGUAACAGAAACCCUGGCACCAGGUAGGCAAGUCUUUG
rnacentral:lncRNA from 1 species